GCGUAUUACCAAACCACGCUCCUAUUGCUACAGCUGUAGAUAUCGGUAUUUUAAGAAUACGACUUAACAACCAAUGGCUAACGAUGGCUCUGAUGGGUGGUUUUGCUCGAAUAGGUAAUAAUGAGAUCACUAUUUUAGUAAAUGAUGCAGAGAAGGGUAGUGACAUUGAUCCCCAAGAAGCUCAACAAACUCUUGAAAAAGCAGAAACUAAUUUGAAGAAAGCUGAAGGUAAGAGACAAACAAUUGAGGCAAAUCUAGCUCUCAGACGAGCUAGGACACGAGUAGAGGCUAUCAAUACAAUUUCAUAAUUCGUUUGUGUACCCGACUAAGCAAAAGAUAUUUUGUUUCUAAGUUCUUUUGAACUGCCGAUUGAAGACAAUCAAUAUAGAAUACAGUGAAAUUCAAUUCUGAUGCAAAUGUAAAUUCUAAGUGAAAUUCAAUUCUGAUGCAAAUGUAAAUUCAUUUAAGAGAUGAAUAUAAAAACUUAUUAGAUAGCAGAGUCAACGGUAUCUAAUAAGUUCUACCUACUAUUGGAUUUGAACCAAUGACUCCUGCCGUAUGAAAGCAAUACUCUAACCACUGAGUUAAGUAGGUCAUUUAUUAUGACAAAGAGAAACAAACGGGACCCAGCCCGUCGAUGGAUUAUAAAUAGAAUAUUAUUUAUAAGCAAUAUCAAAGCAAUAUCAAUCAAAAAGAUCAAAGAGCUUUGAUGUUGGAUCGUAGAAUAUUCAUCUUGACAAGAAAUUAUCUAGAUAAUAAAAUAUGUAUUACAAGCACAAGGGCUAUAGCUCAGUUGGUAGAGCAACUCGUUUACACGUGCGCCAAUGUUUUUCAGAGAAGUCCAUCAUGUAAUCAAAAGAUUUGAUCUUUUUGAGAAAUCAAUGUCUUACUCCAUGACUUUGAGGGAACAAUAGCCUGACAAAGGGUUCGGUGCCUAUUUAGUUAUGCGCCAAAUAAACCGGGCCUUUGAUUUGAUAUAUUGAUAGGGUGAAUAUUCAGUUUAUUCAAUGCUAGGCAGAAUGAGCACAAGGACUUCAAAACAAUCUCUUUUCAUCCUAUGAGCUUUAAGGUGUAUAAAGUUGCAUAUUUUAUGCUUUAAGCAGAGCCGAUAGAGACUCUAUUUAACUUAGGUUGAUCAAGGCCAUAGCAGACCUACGUCAAGAUAACCCUUCUUUGAAACACUUUGGCAGUGCUCCUAGAUCAGUAAUGAAUCAAAGGGCAUGGAGCCAUCUCCUUAAUCUUUUUUUUUUAAAAUAUGGCAGACUAGCUGAUAUUUCUAUUAGUUAAUGAAAGAGCCCAAUGCAAAAAACUGCACGUUGGGUUUUUGAAACAGUUCGACUCAUUUUGAUAAUAACAAGUUUGAGCUGGUUUACCGAGAAGGUCUACGGUUCGAGUCCGUAUAGCCCUAAAUGAAAUAAAAUGAUACAAAAAUUUUAUAGUUGUUAUUUCUGUAUUCUUUAAUAUUGUUUGGAAUUGUGGAGUGACUUGGUAUAAUUUCGAAUAAACAAACCCAUUUUUCUUCAUUAAUCUUUGUAUUGGUAGAUUAAUUACCUAUGAAUUUUCCUGUGCACAAUCGCGGAAUGGGUGAUACUUUUUUGUAUAUCUACCCAAUUUUGAUGAAUUUUGGGAGUCAAAAUCCUAAUAUGAGCCUGCCAAAAAAAAAAAGAAAACCUAACCCAAUUCCAAUCGAAUCUAAUAGAAGUCAAAUGGAUCUAGGACCAACCAACUGUAUUUGUGGACAAGCCGUAGUUUACACCAAUAUAUUAUAAACACUUAGAUAGAAAACUAGGAAUUUGACUCCCCAUGAUUAUUUACUUCUCUUUUUUAGAGUAAGUAUAACGGAAAUAAGAUUCCAGGCAAUAAAUCUUGAAAUGAGACAUGUACGAUAGCAACCAAAGAAAACUCGAUGGUUCGAUUAAACCAAAUUGUUGUUUUGACUAAACAGUGAGGGGUGACUUGAAAAUUCCAAUGUGAAUCAACUAAUCCGAUCUAUUUUCCACAUUCAUAGGAGUACAUUUAUGUUUCUGCUUUAUGAAUAUGAUAUUUUCUGGGCAUUUCUAAUAAUAUCAAGCAUUAUUCCGAUCCUAGCAUUUCUAAUUUCCGGAGUUUUAGCUACGAUUAGUAAAGGCCCGGAGAAACUUUCUAGUUAUGAAUCGGGUAUAGAACCAAUGGGCGAUGCUUGGUUACAAUUUCGAAUCCGUUAUUAUAUGUUUGCUCUAGUUUUUGUUGUUUUUGAUGUUGAAACAGUUUUUCUUUAUCCGUGGGCAAUGAGUUUUGAUGUAGUAGGUGUAUCUGUAUUCAUAGAAGCUUUAAUUUUCGUGCUUAUCCUAAUUGUUGGUUCAGUUUAUGCAUGGCGAAAAGGAGCGUUGGAAUGGUCUUAGCUCCAGAAUCGUCAGACAAUAACAAAAAUAAAGUAACAAAAAAAAAAAUUGAGACAGUUAUGAAUUCCAUUGAGUUUCCUUUACUUAAUCGAACAACCCAAAAUUCAGUUAUUUCAACUACAUCAAAUGAUCUUUCCAAUUGGUCAAGACUCUCCAGUUUAUGGCCACUUCUCUACGGUACCAGUUGUUGCUUCAUUGAAUUUGCUUCAUUAAUAGGCUCACGAUUCGACUUCGAUCGUUUUGGACUGGUACCAAGGUCCAGUCCUAGACAAGCAGACCUAAUUUUAACAGCGGGUACAGUUACGAUGAAAAUGGCUCCUUCUUUAGUAAGAUUAUAUGAGCAAAUGCCCGAACCAAAAUAUGUUAUUGCUAUGGGGGCCUGUACAAUUACAGGGGGAAUGUUCAGUACCGAUUCUUAUAGUACGGUUCGGGGAGUUGAUAAGCUAAUUCCCGUGGAUGUCUAUUUGCCGGGUUGUCCACCUAAACCGGAGGCCAUUAUAGAUGCUUUAACAAAACUUCGUAAGAAAAUAUCUCGAGAAAUCUAUGAAGAUAGAAUUAGGUCUCAACAGGGGAAUCGGUGUUUUACUACCAAUCACAAGUUUAAUGUUGGACGCAGUACUCAUACGGGAACUUAUGAUCAAGGAUUACUCUAUCAAUCGCCAUAUACUUCCGAGAUCUCUCUUGAAACAUUUUUUAAAUACAAAAGUUUAGUAUCUUCACACGAAUUGGUCAAUUAGGUAGCAUUAUUUUGUACAUAAUAACAAACAGCGGGUCCAUUUUAUUUUCAUCAAUUUCAUCGCAAGUAAAUAGGAAAUACUUAUACAAAAAAUGCGGGAGAGAUAAAAAAGAUGCAGGGUCGUUUGUCCGCUUGGCUAGUCAAGCACGGGUUAGUUCAUAGAUCUUUGGGCUUUGAUUACCAAGGAAUAGAGACUUUACAAAUAAAGUCCGAGGAUUGGCAUUCCAUUGCUGUCAUUUUAUAUGUAUAUGGUUACAAUUAUCUACGUUCCCAAUGUGCCUAUGAUGUAGCACCAGGCGGGAUGUUAGCUAGCGUGUAUCAUCUUACGAGAAUAGAGUAUGGUGUAGAUCAACCAGAAGAGGUAUGCAUAAAAGUAUUUGUUCCGCGGAAGGGUCCUAGAAUUCCGUCUGUUUUCUGGGUUUGGAAAAGCUCAGAUUUUCAAGAGCGGGAAUCUUAUGAUAUGUUAGGAAUCUAUUAUGAUAAUCAUCCCCGCUUGAAACGUAUCUUAAUGCCUGAAAGUUGGAUAGGAUGGCCCUUACGUAAAGAUUAUAUUGCCCCCAAUUUUUAUGAAAUCCAAGACGCUCAUUGAAUGAUAAGAAACUAAUCCUCACUUUUACAACUCGAGAUAUUCAAGGAUUAUUUGUACGCUCUGUGCUAGAUUAAACAGAGUAAUUGAAGCCUCAUUCGUAUUAUGGAUAGGUUAAAAAGUUUUUUUAGUUCAGAUAAGCCUAACCAAUAGGAUGAACUAAAAGAUCUCUCCAUCAGGAACAUGAACUUUGUACCGCGUACACGACUUAGAUAAUUUUUUUUUGAACGAGAACAGACAGGGUACGAACAUAAAAAUAUUCUUUUAACUACUUUAAUUUAUUUUUUUCUCAUCUAUAAAAUGUAUGGGUAUAUUUCCACACGCCUAGAUGGGUACGUAGGUAUCCUGCUAUAGAAUAUAUGUCUGUUGAUCCCUAGGAAUUAUUAUUCAUAUAUAAAAGAAAGCAUCUAUUCUAAAAAUAAAUCAUGUGCCAGGAACCAGAUUUGAACUGGUGACACGAGGAUUUUCAGUCCUCUGCUCUACCAGCUGAGCUAUCCCGACCAUCCUCUCCGUAUCAGUCUAAUUUUACUAUAUGACUUGAGGCUAUGUCAAUUAAAAAAAUGAAAGGGUAUUUAUUAAAGUCUUAUACAGUUCCUAGACUUUCUAAGUUUGUGAAAAGAGAAUCCAAUUUUUAUAGGAUCUCUUUGUAAAAUAAUAGGGUGAAUAAGAAAGAUAAUAAGCUUGAAACCACUAAUGAAAAGAAACGGGAGUAUGAGAAAAAGAAUUAGGUAAUCAAAUAAUACUUUGUAGGGGAUUUGGGGAUAGAGGGACUUGAACCCUCACGAUUUCUAAAGUCGACGGAUUUUCCUUUUACUAUCAAUUUCCUUGUUGUCAGUAUUGACAUGUAUAAUGGGACUCUAUCUUUAUUCUCGUCCGAUUAAUCUCAGUUCGUCAAAAGAUCUCUCAGACUGUGGAGUGACACUUAUUUUAUCAAUGAAAAGUCGAUUCUUUUCUUUCUUCAACUCGGAAUGGCUUCCUAACAACUCUCUCAUUUUCAAAUAAAAAUUUGAGUCGUCAUUAAUCAUUUGAUAUACUAUUUCGGUACGUAUAUAUAUGUAUAUUACGAUUUAUCCUUCAUCCUUUCUGGGGUUUCGAUGAAAAGAUUCCUUUGCCAAUGCAACUAUAGUAAACUCUAUUUGUUAGAACAACUUCCGUUGAGUCUCUGCACCUAUCCUUUUUUCUCGCUUUUUGAACCCCUGUAUUUGGGUUUGGUUUCGGAAAAGAAGAUUUGGCUCAGGAUUGCCCAUUUUUAAUUCCAGGGUUUCUCUGAAUUUGGAAGUUUUCACUUAGUAGGUUUCCAUACCAAGGCUCAAUACAAUUAAGUCCGUAGCGUCUACCAAUUUCGCCAUAUCCCCUUUUUGUUUUUCGAUUAGAAUCUUAUUGUGAUUCGUUUCAUUUUUUCAAUGGAACCCUUGAAUUCAUUAGAUGCCGAUUCCUAUAUUGAAUAGGGUUUCCUCCUAUUUAUUUUUUGCCUAUCUUCUUUCAUCUCUAUCUGCGGAAACCAUUUAAUGGGAUCAGAAAUGAUUCUAUCAUUUCUGUAUCCGCAAUUCAAUAGAGAUGGAUAUAUACCACAUAUAGACUCUUCUUUUACUAGAAUUUGACCCGACAUUAUUGAAUACUUGAACGGUCGAUUUUUUGAUUUCUUUUUGCUAUAAUAAUAUGAAUUAUGAAUAGCUAAAUGUGAAAACUUCCAAGACUCUUCUUUUACUAGAAUUUGACCCGACAUUAUUGAAUACUUGAACGGUCGAUUUUUUGAUUUCUUUUUGCUAUAAUAAUAUGAAUUAUGAAUAGCUAAGAAUGAAUCUGAAUAGUUACUAGGAAAAAUAAGAUCCAAGUAGUAGUUUAGUCAAUUCUUAUGAAAUAUACAAUUUUCUUAUGCGUAUGUGAGCCCGCUUAGCUCAGAGGUUAGAGCAUCGCAUUUGUAAUGCGGUGGUCAUCGGUUCGAUUCCGAUAGCUGGCUUUUACGAAUUUGUUUGAUUUUUUACAUGAUUGAUAAUGUCUCUUUGAAAUCAAAAACUUUUGAAAAGACCCAUUUUUCAAGAGUCCCCAAUCUAUAUAUGUCGUAGAAACUUUCAACUAGGAAUAAAAAAUAGGAAGAGUUAGAUUAGGUCUCUACAGACCAAAUCAAGAAAGGAAAAGAUCCUUUUUUAUUUAUAUAUUUCAUAUAUACAAUAACAAAGUCUGAUACAAUUUAUCUCAUUAUUCUUUGUAGUACAAUAUUUCCCUUUAGUUAUUAUUUAGUUUAGUUUUAAUUUAGACUUAUUCUGUAAAAUGGAAUUUCAAAUAAGGAGUUUUUAUGUCGCGUUACCGAGGGCCUCGUUUCAAAAAAAUACGCCGACUGGGGGCUUUACCGGGACUAACUCGUAAAAGACCUAGAGUUGGAAGUGAUCUUAGAAACCAAUCACGUUCCGGUAAAAGAUCCCAAUAUCGUAUUCGUCUAGAAGAAAAACAAAAAUUGCGUUUUCAUUAUGGUCUUACAGAACGACAAUUGCUUAAAUAUGUCCGUAUUGCCGGAAAAGCGAAAGGUUCAACAGGUCAGGUUUUAUUACAAUUACUUGAAAUGCGUUUGGAUAAUAUCCUUUUUCGAUUGAGCAUGGCUUCUACUAUUCCUGGAGCCCGUCAAUUAGUUAAUCAUAGGCAUAUUUUAGUUAAUGGUCGGAUAGUUGAUAUACCGAGUUAUCGUUGCAAACCCAGCGAUAUUAUUACAGCGAAGGAUGAUAAAAAAUCCAGAGCUCUGAUUCAAAAUUCUAUUGAUUCAACUCCUCAUGAGGAAUUGCCAAAACAUUUGACUCUUCACUCAGUCCAAUAUAAAGGACUAGUCAAUCAAAUAAUAGAUAGUAAGGAGGUCGGGUUGAAAAUAAAUGAAUUGCUAGUGGUAGAAUAUUAUUCUCGUCAAACUUAAAACUCACUCAAAUAACAAGGAUUCGAGCAAUCUUACUUCAGUUUCGACAACGGAAUAGAUCGGCAGCGAGAAUUAGAUUCCUUUUCUUUCCAAUAUUCGACAACGGAAUAGAUCGGCAGCGAGAAUUAGAUUCCUUUUCUUUCCAAUAUUUUUGUAUCAAAGGAAUUAGGGAUAGAGAACCCAUACCGUCUAACUAUUAGAAUAAUAUUCUCCCUUAUUUGAGACAUUAUGGUCAGUAACAUUGGUGAAUUGGGUAACGUACGGAAAGAGAGGGAUUCGAACCCUCGGUAAACAAAAGCCUACAUAGCAGUUCCAAUGCUACGCCUUGAACCACUCAGCCAUCUCUCCUACAUAAUGAUUAUGGCCUAAAACCCGAGUGAUUAGCGAGUUAUUCAGAAUUAGAUUAUUUGAUAGGUACGAACAAUCAAAUUAAACCCUAACUAUAAAAAUAGAAAAGAAAGGUCUUUGCUUCAUAGUUCCGGUAAUAAAGAGAAUUUAAUUUUAUUAGUCUGUUUUUAUGCUAUAGAUCGGAAGAGCAAAGCAAUCAAAUUAAACCCUAACUAUAAAAAUAGAAAAGAAAGGUCUUUGCUUCAUAGUUCCGGUAAUAAAGAGAAUUUAAUUUUAUUAGUCUGUUUUUAUGCUAUUUCGUACUGUCCAAUUCCUUUGUUUGUGGGAGCGUUUUCCUACGAGAGGUAAUGAAGAAUUAUAGAAUGCAUUGUUAUCUAUGCCUAGAUCGCAGAUAAAUGGAAAUUUUAUUGAUAAAACGUUUUCAAUUAUAGCCAAUAUCUUAUUACGAAUAAUUCCGACAACCUCAGGAGAAAAAGAGGCAUUUACUUACUACAGAGAUGGUGCGAUUUGAUUCUUUUUUUAUCAUCCAAAGACACUAAAGACACACGCUUUGGGAUAGAAAGAAAAAAGAUUACUGAAAGAAAUCUACACUUGUUGAAGGUGAAGUUUAUAAAUAGAACAAUUCCUUCUGUCGUGUAUCCUCGAGUAAUGCCGCCUCAGGUGCUUCAAUUGUGGAUUGGAGUAUUGAGCGAAAGGUUACACCUAUAGGUUCUAUAUUACAGGUUAAUCCUACUUCACUAGUACCAAUAGGGGGCAUAUGGGAAGAAGCACUACACCUAGAAAUCAACAACACAAAAACUUUGUUAUUUAGUAAAGAUUAACCCCUUCCUCCUUAUCAAGGUUGGGGCUAACAAGAAUGGCUGGGACAACAAGCAUCCAUCUCGUUGGUACUUUGGAUACCCGUAUAACCGUCGAAGAUUGUUGAAGUGACCAAUUCCUGUAAAUUAGGGAGCGUUGAGGACAAAGAAAUUGUUGGAGUUACUAUUUCAUUUCUAUCUAAUCCUAACACGCUUGAUGGUGAGAAAAAAUCUUUUGCAGAAGGGUUGGCUAGAGAUUUCCUGUAAAAACACUAGCCCCGCUCAGUUUAUAAUGAGAAUAUUUUUAGUCUUAAUAAGUUAUUAUUCUUAUUAUGUACAUAAAGGAGGAGCCGUAUGAGAUGCAAAUUUCACGUACGGUUCUGAAACGGAGAUUCGUGGAAUCGAAUGACGACCGUAACGGAUGUCGGCUCAAUCCGAAGGAAAUUAUGCGGAAGCUUUACAGAAUUAUUAUGAAGCUAUGCGACUAGAAAUAGAUCCCUAUGAUCGAAGUUAUAUACUCUAUAAUAUAGGACUUAUCCACACAAGUAAUGGAGAACAUACAAAAGCUUUGGAAUAUUAUUUUCGAGCACUAGAACGAAACCCAUUCUUACCCCAAGCUUUUAAUAAUAUGGCCGUGAUCUGUCAUUACGUGCGACUCUCUCUACUAUAGAAAGGAAAAGAAAAAAGCAUUAAAUACUAAAAGGCUUUCUACAUAUACAUCGUCCAAAAUAACGAUUUUUAUCAGCUGUAGCAAAGAAAAAAACUUCAUAUCAAAUGAAGAAAUAGAUAUGCCUAGAUACUUUAUUCUAUGGAUAAAGAAUCUAAUUGAUAGAGGAAGCACCGUAAAGAUCAAUUAGCGAGGUUUUGGUCCGAUACAAUAAGAACUGCUUACUUAUAUCAUUGUCAUGAUAUUCAAAAAGUUAGGAAUCAACUUAUGUAAUAGAGUUGAUCCACUAGGGAGCAGCGGUGUAGCAUCAGAUCCCAAAGAGAGUAAGUCUUUUCUUUCUUAUGAAGGAAAGUCUUUUUCAAGGAUUCUAUAUAAAUUUCUAUAUGAAAUUGAGAUAGUUACCUUUUCAGAAAAUUCUAACGAUACAAUAGGUAAAUAAAAAAAAAUACCUAUGUUUUAUUCUUCAGAAGGUGGGAUAAAAGAUAAAACGAAAACAAUUAGUAAUCCAAAUUUUCGUUUAAAACUUCUAUAAUUAAUCUCUUUUAGUUAACCCGAUAAAAAGGAGAUGGGUCUGUCUCUGGAUCUAUGAUAACCUUCGUUGAAUUAGAUUAGAUAUGGUAGAUUAAAAGGGGAUACCGAAUGAUGAGCCGUAUGAGGUAGUAAACUCUCAAGUACGGUUCUAAGGGAAGGAAUUCACCCACCUAUUCCGACCGGGGAGAACAGGCCAUUCGACAAGGAGAUUCUGAAAUUGCAGAGGCUUGGUUCAACCAAGCCGCUGAGUAUUGGAAACAAGCUAUAGCACUUACUCCCGGGAAUUAUAUUGAAGCUCAUAAUUGGUUGAAGAUCACAAGGCGUUUCGAAUAAUAAGACUUGUUUUUUGUUAUAACAAAUUGUUUGUUGUCACUGUCAGUCCGAUCAUUCUUCUUGGAAAAAUAAAUCAAUUUCAUUAUCAACCUUCUAAGAUCGUUCUAUUUUGUCUGGUAUUCCGUAGGGAUAAAUGAGAAACAAGUAAGUAGAGAAACUAGAUAUAUCUAGUUUCUCUACUCUAUAAAAUAUAAAAUUUAAAAGAGACCCACGAAUGACUAAAUAUUGAUACUGGGAUGUCUCUUAGUAAUAAGCACUUAUGUGAUUUGGAUUUGGAAUCGAAUAAUCGUAAUAUGCUCUUUGUAAGACAUAACGUCGUUCCAUAUAGAAACUUAUAAUUAAGAUAUAAAUACACUAGAGUGCACAAAAAAACAGUUGUUUGUACCAAUUCCAAAUCCAGAAAAUUUUUUAUAAACUCAAAGGGGUCCGUUGAGCGCCUCCGCGCUAUGUCAUAAUAGAUCCGAACACUUGCCCCGGAUCAAUUUCCAGAUCAUAAUUGCUCUAGUGAAUAACUAAAGAAAAUAGAUAUAUGGGAGAUAGAAGAGAAAGAAAAAAAUUCAAAAUAUCUCUCAUAGGUUCACUACUUUCUUGACUGUUGGCAAGUCUCUUUGUAUGUGUUGUCCGGAAAGAGGAGGACUCAAUGAUUAUUCGUUCGCCGGAACCAGAAGUAAAAAUUUUGGUAGAUAGGGAUCCUGUAAAAACUUCUUUCGAGGAAUGGG
rnacentral:rRNA from 1 species